AUUGAACGCUGGCGGCAUGCUUUACACAUGCAAGUCGAACGGUAACAGGCCGCAAGGUGCUGACGAGUGGCGAACGGGUGAGUAAUGCAUCGGAACGUGCCCAGUCGUGGGGGAUAACUACUCGAAAGAGUAGCUAAUACCGCAUACGAUCUAUGGAGGAAAGCGGGGGACGGAAAGGCCUCGCGCGAUUGGAGGGGCGGAUGUCAGAUUAGGUAGUUGGUGGGGUAAAGGCUCACAAAGCCAACGAUCUGUAGCUGGUCUGAGAGGACAACCAGCCACACUGGGACUGAGACACGGCCCAGACUCCUACGGGAGGCAGCAGUGGGGAAUUUUGGACAAUGGGCGCAAGCCUGACCCAGCAAUGCCGCGUGCAGGAAGAAGGCCUUCGGGUUGUAAACUGCUUUUGUACGGAACGAAACGGCUCUGGUUAAUACCCGGGGCUAAUGACGGUACCGUAAGAAUAAGCACCGGCUAACUACGUG
rnacentral:rRNA from 1 species